UAUAAGAGUUGGUUCAAUUGUUGCUGAUUUAGAAGUUAUAGAAGCCCUUGCUGCGAAAUUGACAAUUCAGGAUGAUGAAGUCGCAGAUAGUGAUGAGGAGGCCCAUGCAGACGACUUGGACUUUGGCUUGGACAUCUAGGUUUUUGGAUUGGCUCAUAAGAUGUCUUGCUGCUGCUGUUCAAGAUAAAUGGUGUAUCCAGUGUUCUUGUGUUUGUGUUUGUGUUUGUGUGUGUGUGUGUCGAUGUGCGACUAUUUGUGGACAGUGGACCUAUUCACCUAUUAUUUGUAUGAGUGUGGACUUUUGUUGUGUUGACUGUGAUGGCAUGUUAUCGGUUAUGACAGUA